GUGCCAGCCGCCGCGGUAAUACCGGCAGCUCAAGUGAUGUCCCAUAUUAUUGGGCCUAAAGCGUCCGUAGCUGGCCGACCAAGUCUCCCGGGAAAUCCACCCGCCCAACGGGUGGGCGUCCGGCGAAAACUGUGCGGCUUGGGACCGGAAGAUCCAAGGGGUACGUCCGGGGUAGGAGUAAAAUCCCGUAAUCCUGGACGGACCACCGAUGGCGAAAGCACCUUGGAAGGACGGAUCCGACAGUGAGGGACGAAAGCUAGGGUCUCGAACCGGAUUAGAUACCCUGGUAGUCC
rnacentral:rRNA from 1 species